CUUUCGGCGGAGACGAAGUCAUAGCACGUAACAGGGCAGUAAAAUCAGCAGUGUAAUAUUAGCAGUGUAAAAAGUUAUUAAUUCCCAAAGAUUUCAAUUAACAAUCCACAGUGUUAAACAGUACUCGUGUUCAGUGUUGUUAUAUGGUGUAAUUUCACUUUUACACUAAAAGUGCGAAAUAAAAGACCCGCCGAAUUGUCUGGACUCCGCCCUUCAGUGACUGCUGCCUCGCGAAGCGACAACGCCAUCUUUUCUUCGAACGACCGAGACGUUGGUGGACACGUCCUCUCGCCUCUGUUCCCUCCUCGGCCUGGGGUUACUGCGAAUCUGGCGCUGAAGACUGAAGCUGCUAACGUUAUAUUCGAAUGGGACAGUUAUAUUGCUUCAAUUGGUCUCCUACUUCAUUUGAUUCCACCAUCAUUACAAGGCUGCAAGGGAUCUGGAAAAAUGUCAUCCUGUCAAGCUGAAAAACCAUCUUCAAAAAGGCACUAACAAGAACAGCUUGAUUGUAGAGAAGAGUCCACACAGCCAUACACGCUCACUGAUGGGACGAUGAGGAACAUCAUUCAUGGAUGCCACACAACUCAAAUCUACACGUCAUAUUUGUUCAUGUCUAGGUAAAUUUGAUGAUUUUGUGUUUUAUUAACUACUUUGUUUCUGUGCAACACUUAAUGAAUGUGACUGACUAAUUAACCUCUACACAUCUGGUAUAUGCUUUAAAGUUGCCACUUUGC
ensembl:lncRNA